UUAUAAUUAGGAAAGACAAAUACUUUUGUUAUUAUUAAUGUUGCUUAUUAUUUAUUGUUUUGCUGAUGCUGAGUGACUAAGCAAGAAAAGAAAAAGAAAUGUUUAUAAAAUUAGAAUUAAAAGGUAAAAAUAACAUAAUUAAAAAUGUGAUUUAAAAUAUUUUAAAAUAAUGAGUGCACAGGCCUUAAAUAUAAAAAAACCAUUAAAAAUAGAUAUUAAGAUUUUAUUGAAAGUUCAUAUUUAAAACUCAAUUGUCUUCCUAAAUAUAAAUACAAGGAAACUGUUGUUCAUAUGUUAUGACCCCAAAUCAGGAAAAAGCAUAGAAAUAAACCUUUUACUAACAAGCCUAGAAAUAAAUUUGCUAAUUAAUAUUUCUACUGAUGAACAUAAAAUGUAAAGCAUUCAAGGAUAAAAGACAACAUUUUUGCAGAUAUACAUUAUCUCUAUACAUCUGCAUAUUUAAUGUGAUUCUGUUGGAGGACAAAUGCACUGUAUCUAGAAAUGAUAUGUUCUUUAAAAACACAUUCUAAAGUUUAUAAGGCAGAAAAAUUACAAUAAUAGCUAAAUAGUCUGAAAAAGAUAAUGUACUAUAAUAUUGUAGACACUAUCUUGUAUUCAAGCACUUCAUAAUGAACAUAUGUGAAUGAGCAGACUGAUUAGAGUACAUAGGAUUAAAUGCAAGCACAUGUAGGGAUAGAUCAUAUGCUAAUAGUGGCAUUUCAUGUCAGUAAAGGAAGAUUAGUUGAUUCAAUAAUUAGUGCUAGAAAUCUCAGUACACAUCUGGCAAAGAAAACUCUUAUAAAAUUUGAGUUUUUAC
rnacentral:lncRNA from 1 species